AGUCGAACGCGUUGGCCCAAUUGAUUGAUGGUGCUUGCACCUGAUUGAUUUUGGUCGCCAACGAGUGGCGGACGGGUGAGUAACACGUAGGUAACCUGCCCAGAAGCGGGGGACAACAUUUGGAAACAGAUGCUAAUACCGCAUAACAGCGUUGUUCGCAUGAACAACGCUUAAAAGAUGGCUUCUCGCUAUCACUUCUGGAUGGACCUGCGGUGCAUUAGCUUGUUGGUGGGGUAACGGCCUACCAAGGCGAUGAUGCAUAGCCGAGUUGAGAGACUGAUCGGCCACAAUGGGACUGAGACACGGCCCAUACUCCUACGGGAGGCAGCAGUAGGGAAUCUUCCACAAUGGGCGCAAGCCUGAUGGAGCAACACCGCGUGAGUGAAGAAGGGUUUCGGCUCGUAAAGCUCUGUUGUUAAAGAAGAACACGUAUGAGAGUAACUGUUCAUACGUUGACGGUAUUUAACCAGAAAGUCACGGCUAACUACGUGCCAGCAGCCGCGGUAAUACGUAGGUGGCAAGCGUUAUCCGGAUUUAUUGGGCGUAAAGAGAGUGCAGGCGGUUUUCUAAGUCUGAUGUGAAAGCCUUCGGCUUAACCGGAGAAGUGCAUCGGAAACUGGAUAACUUGAGUGCAGAAGAGGGUAGUGGAACUCCAUGUGUAGCGGUGGAAUGCGUAGAUAUAUGGAAGAACACCAGUGGCGAAGGCGGCUACCUGGUCUGCAACUGACGCUGAGACUCGAAAGCAUGGGUAGCGAACAGGAUUAGAUACCCUGGUAGUCCAUGCCGUAAACGAUGAGUGCUAGGUGUUGGAGGGUUUCCGCCCUUCAGUGCCGGAGCUAACGCAUUAAGCACUCCGCCUGGGGAGUACGACCGCAAGGUUGAAACUCAAAGGAAUUGACGGGGGCCCGCACAAGCGGUGGAGCAUGUGGUUUAAUUCGAAGCUACGCGAAGAACCUUACCAGGUCUUGACAUCUUGCGCCAACCCUAGAGAUAGGGCGUUUCCUUCGGGAACGCAAUGACAGGUGGUGCAUGGUCGUCGUCAGCUCGUGUCGUGAGAUGUUGGGUUAAGUCCCGCAACGAGCGCAACCCUUGUUACUAGUUGCCAGCAUUAAGUUGGGCACUCUAGUGAGACUGCCGGUGACAAACCGGAGGAAGGUGGGGACGACGUCAGAUCAUCAUGCCCCUUAUGACCUGGGCUACACACGUGCUACAAUGGACGGUACAACGAGUCGCGAACUCGCGAGGGCAAGCAAAUCUCUUAAAACCGUUCUCAGUUCGGACUGCAGGCUGCAACUCGCCUGCACGAAGUCGGAAUCGCUAGUAAUCGCGGAUCAGCAUGCCGCGGUGAAUACGUUCCCGGGCCUUGUACACACCGCCCGUCACACCAUGAGAGUUUGUAACACCCAAAGUCGGUGGGGUAACCUUUUAGGA
rnacentral:rRNA from 1 species